AUAAGCACUGGCCCACAUCUCAAUCUGCUGGGCACAGGGACCAGCCUGCAGGGCUGCAGCUAGGCUGUGAAAAGAUCUGGAGAGAGGGGAACUAGAAACCGGUUUUGAAGGACUAAGGACGAAGGAGGGAGGAGAAGGAAUUGCCUUGAACACAUAGCCAAGUUUCAAAAACUUUCUGUGGUCCGGGCCAUCAGCAGGAAGUGAUCAAGUCUUUCCCUCCCUUGGGCCACCAGCAUCUAGAGGAGGAGCUAUGAGGCUGGCUGCUGCUGCUGCUGCCAAAGUCCUUUCCUGCUACUUGUCCCUGCAGUGCCUGCUGUCUGUCUGUCUGUGUUCAGGGAUAGAAGGAUCAACAAUAACAGCCCAGGAUAUAGCCCAGCUUACAUCUGCCAACACCAUUUCAAUUACAGUGAAUGGUACCUCUUCUGUAUCUGACAGUCAGCAUUUAAAGGCAAACUGGAGUCUGUUUCUAUUAUUGAUAUUAAUUCGUUUUAUCAUCUAGUUGGCCAAGAGACUGUACAAAAAUACGGGUGCUCCCUGCUGCUCCUCUUCCUCUGCAGUCUGAUCUUCAUCACCAGCUGUCGGGUGACAUUUGAACAUUGACUGUGACUUCUUCAGCAAAGGAAGCAAACACAUUUCUGACGGCAUCUCUGAAAUCUGACCUCUGAUCUUGACUUCGGACCAAACUGGUGGGAUCCCAGGAGACUGAUGGCUGUCAGAGCCUCAUGCAUGAGGGCAUCAGGGUGCACUAGGCUGUUGCCAUUGAGGACUUCCUCUUGCUCUAAUCCUUUUCCUUUCUCACACUUGCCUUAUCAUUGUGGGGAUAAAACUGGGCAUGGCUCUAAAUUACACCUCACACUGCAAAACAGGGCUUGCCCUAAGUGACUCCAUUUUACAAGCUGCGGGUGGCUGUCUCCUGAGUGCAACGCAGACAACGGAGGACAUGACACCUCACUUUAUACACAGACACAUUUCAGCCCAGGGCCAUCGAUGACUCAGAGAGUGAAAAUUACCAUAAUCUUAAAAGUAAGAAUAAGUCGCCUGUACACUUAUCAAAAUGAGUUGGAAGCAGUGAGAAUCACAUGUACAUAUCAAAUUAUAUCAGAGAACCAGCUCAAGGAUUUAUCUCACCCUCACCUAGACCCUAGAAGAAGCCACCUAACUCGCAAUGGUUAUGUCAACACAAACUUGUCCCCUGGCUGUCUGUGUGUCAGGGAACCUGCAGGUCCAGAACUCCUGGCCAUCUUAAGCCUCAGCUCCACCCACCCUGCUAAUGUCUCCUCCUUGAAUCACUGUCUGACAGCUCAUCUGCUGCUCAUGCUAAUGUGGGUCUGCAUCUCACCUGCUGGAUCCUCAGUCCUGCACCUCACUUGUGCAGUUCACUCAGGGCUGAGGCCUGGUGCAGCCCUGAAGCUCUCCAUGAGCUUCCUUCGCAGCUCCUCUAACCUCCUGCAUUCAAUCUGUCUGUGUGUCUGUCAUCCCUCUGUCUCUGGCUCCAGUCUGGUCUCUUUAAACUCCAAUGGCAACUCGUUCACUCUUCUGCAGCCAUUCUGUGAUCUAAGGCCAUAAGAUAACUCUGUGGUGUUCAAUGUGUGAUCUGAGAGUUUGUAUUAGUAAUUACGACUGGAGACAGAGAGCCCAGGAUGGCCAGGAGCCAGUUGUCAAAGGUAAUCACGGCUACUUGUUAAUUACAGGCUGUGAAUUGGAUGGAGGUUGUAAGUUAAGGCACAUAUAUUUUCCUGGCAUAGCACACUGAUUUGGGAUUUCAUACUUCAUAGUAUAAUAAUCCAGUGAGUAAAUAGUCCAUUAGCAAAGAAAUUAGAAAAACAUUGUUUUUCAAGUGAAUGCAGUACCUGAUUAUAGAAAAUUCAGCUUCCCUACCAAACCCUGGUCAACAGAGACUAAACUUGCUCCAUUGACCCAAUGCCUGCCUCACAGCCCAGUAAAACUUCACCCUCUUCAGUGUGACAUCUGAAUGGUGUGUUAGGAAGGGGAGAGGCUUGCAUCUGUCUCCCAAGAGGAGUGCGUUAGCAAAAUAAAUAACGAAGCAGAAAUAGAAGUGAGCAAACCUCAGCUCACACUUCUAUGAUUACUAAUGUAUACGACGGAUAUAGAAGUAUACCAUACUACGAAUUUAUACUGUUCGAAAGAAAACUAAGAGAAGUAUUAGUGUCGGUGAGAAAGAUGAGUAACAGACUACGUAAUAGACAAAUCCUCAGACGGUGCUGCCUCUGAUGCAGCAUCAUCGAUCUACAGAGCCCGAAUAAACAUGUGACAGUAACAGUCCUAGACUAAUUGUCACUAUCUUGACAGUAGCAUACGGGAGCAUAGCAAAGGCAUAGACACGUUACAUUCAGCAACUGAAAAUUAUACAUACGUUUCAGUGAGGAAUGAGGGACAAAGAGACAACUCAGUCAUACAGUGCUCAUGCUUUUUGAGAAUCUGAGUUCCCUCCCCAGAAUACGUGAACACUGUCGUGAUACAUGCUUGCAAUCUCAGCAUAGAGGACAGAGGGAAAGAGAGAGAGAAAGUGGGACAGAGGUGGGGGGAGAAUAUUGCAUCUCUGUGGCUUCGUCAUCAGAAGGAAUAGUUCAAUUGGUGAGUUUGGUGAGUUCCAGUACACACUGCCUCAAGACACCGUGCGCAUGGCGUCCUGAGUAGUGACAGCAAAAGGAAAUGUGUAGUACCCACAUGUACUAGUAUAUGAACAAACAUACACACAGGAAAUGAUACACACUAUGGACCAAAACACAGCUGAUGACUUCCCGAUAUGCAUUACUUGGGAGAUGGAAUGGGGCUUUUUAAAACUAGUCACAAGAUCUUACCCAUUCUUGGUUUCUGGGCCAUUUCAUAUUUGUAUUAUAAUAGAUAAAAGGGGCCCUGCUUGUGUCUUCUUAGAUGAUAAGGGUCGUCACACCAUUGUUCAACCACUGGCUCAAGGUGCCGGAGGGGGUAGGAUUCACCCUCUAAUCGUAGGAGGUAUCAUGAGAGACUUAGACUCCAAGCACUAGAUCCUGAUUAUUAAAAGAGGAUAUUUUGAUUUUAUUUUUGACAGAGGAACUCUUUGAAUCUGCAUUGCUGCCCUGAAAGAUGAGCAGAUUAUAUUGUGGACAAAUGAUGCAGACCACUUUCUCUUGGAAGGGACUUAUUGCUGAGAAUAGGACCUUGAGAGCCCUGUUUGGGAAUGCUGAGCUCUUAUCGGGUCCUAAGACCAUAAAACUUAAGAAGAUCGACCAACAUUUUGGAGAGGGAAAGGACCUUUGUGGCCUGAGUUGAAGGUCAGACUGUAACAUCACUCAGAGCUCAAGUGGUCCUCGGUGCUUACUGUAGGUGUUGGUGUAGAUGGCAGUGAUGGCUCAUCCUGCUACAGCACUAACUCCAUCACAGUGACUUCUAAUCUAGACCAUAGACAUCAUACUGGAGGGUUAAGUGAGACCAGCCAAAGUCACCAAAGAGUUAAAACCAGAAAUAGGCGGUGAGCAGGAAUAAAUAAUUGUAGCCUGCAGUGUUUAAAGGGGGAACUACCCUUUGGUGGUUUCAGCAUAGGCAGGAGGUAUGACCAUUGUGACUGAGGAGGAGAAAUCCUAGAAAUGCAGAAAUAAGGGGUUCAUAACUUGACAUAAAGACCUCAGGUUAUUGUUGGAAAAUAGAGUCAGGGGGUGUUUUAUGUAUGUUGUACCAAACUUUCACUGAAAUAAUGAACACGAGUCUCCACGAUGCUCCCAGGAACUAGCUGGUUGAGCCUUUGCAGGUUGAGUCCUAUUAAAUCUUCAGAUGAACCCUCAGUGACAGGCCUUGUAACA